AAUGCAGGUGUCUCGUUUUGAAGAGAUGAAAAGGGAACCGGGUGAGAAUCCCGGACAGUCCCGCUGCUGUGAGCCGACCUUAAUGGCGCAAACAAUAAGUCACUGAGUAUUAUUGAACGAUUACAACUUUCUCGGGAAGACGUUUGCGACUGUCGGUAAGUCAGAAGACCUGCCUGCAUAGUC
rnacentral:ncRNA from 1 species